UUCACAAAUACUGGUGUGUGUGUGUGUGGGGGGACACGUCUAUAUCUCUGUGUGUACGUCUAUCUGUGUGUGUCUCUGUGUUAAAUAGUGCAACAGGUGCAGGCUAGAUAGGACUAUUAGUCUAAUGUAGGACGCUCCACUGUACUCCGGUCAGAAGUGCUGUCUGUCUCUCUGAGCCCAGUCAGUCAGUAUAGUGCUGUGUAGCUCCAGGUACAACCUGGACCUUGUCUGAGCCAGAACGGCCCAUAGUGGUCAGUACUACCUAGGACUGUAGUGAACUAUCAUUCUUAUUAGAGGUUAAAACUCCUCUCUAUUAGCAUGGUGUUGUAGACUGAUGGUUAAAUGACAGGUGUAACACCUAGCUAGGUUUAGCAUGGUGUUAUAGACUGAUGGUUAAAUGACAGGUGUAACACCUAGCUAGGUUUAGCAUGGUGUUAUAGACUGAUGGUUAAAUGACAGGUGUAACACCUAGCUAGGUUUAGCAUGGUGUUAUAGACUGAUGGUUAAAUGGCAGGUGUAACACCUAGCUAGGUUUAGCAUGGUGUUGUAGACUGAUGGUUUAAUGACAGGUGGAACACCUAGCUAGGUUUAGCAUGGUGUUAUAGACUGAUGGUUAAAUGAGAUGGAACACCUAGCUAGGUUUAGCAUGGUGUUAUAGACUGAUGGUUAAAUGAGAUGGAACACCUAGCUAGGUUUAGCAUGGUGUUAUAGACUGAUGGUUAAAUGACAGGUGGAACACCUAGCUAGGUUUAGCAUGGUGUUAUAGACUGAUGGUUAAAUGACAGGUGGAACACCUAGCUAGGUUUAGCAUGGUGUUAUAGACUGAUGGUUAAAUGACAGGUGGAACACCUAGCUAGGUUUAGCAUGGUGUUGUAGACUGAUGGUUAAAUGACAGGUGGAACACCUAGCUAGGUUUAGCAUGGUGUUAUAGACUGAUGGUUAAAUGACAGGUGUAACACCUAGCUAGGUUUAGCAUGGUGUUAUAGACUGAUGGUUAAAUGGCAGGUGUAACACCUAGCUAGGUUUAGCAUGGUGUUGUAGACUGAUGGUUUAAUGACAGGUGGAACACCUAGCUAGGUUUAGCAUGGUGUUAUAGACUGAUGGUUAAAUGAGAUGGAACACCUAGCUAGGUUUAGCAUGGUGUUAUAGACUGAUGGUUAAAUGACAGGUGGAACACCUAGCUAGGUUUAGCAUGGUGUUAUAGACUGAUGGUUAAAUGACAGGUGGAACACCUAGCUAGGUUUAGCAUGGUGUUGUAGACUGAUGGUUAAAUGACAGGUGGAACACCUAGCUAGGUUUAUCCUGGUGUUAUAGACUGAUGGUUAAAUGACAGGUGUAACACCUAGCUAGGUUUAGCAUGGUGUUAUAGACUGAUGGUUAAAUGAGAUGGAACACCUAGCUAGGUUUAGCAUGGUGUUAUAGACUGAUGGUUAAAUGACAGGUGGAACACCUAGCUAGGUUUAGCAUGGUGUUGUAGACUGAUGGUUAAAUGACAGGUGGAACACCUAGCUAGGUUUAGCAUGGUGUUAUAGACUGAUGGUUAAAUGACAGGUGUAACACCUAGCUAGGUUUAGCAUGGUGUUAUAGACUGAUGGUUAAAUGGCAGGUGUAACACCUAGCUAGGUUUAGCAUGGUGUUGUAGACUGAUGGUUUAAUGACAGGUGGAACACCUAGCUAGGUUUAGCAUGGUGUUAUAGACUGAUGGUUAAAUGAGAUGGAACACCUAGCUAGGUUUAGCAUGGUGUUAUAGACUGAUGGUUAAAUGACAGGUGGAACACCUAGCUAGGUUUAGCAUGGUGUUAUAGACUGAUGGUUAAAUGACAGGUGGAACACCUAGCUAGGUUUAGCAUGGUGUUGUAGACUGAUGGUUAAAUGACAGGUGGAACACCUAGCUAGGUUUAUCCUGGUGUUAUAGACUGAUGGUUAAAUGACAGGUGUAACACCUAGCUAGGUUUAGCAUGGUGUUAUAGACUGAUGGUUAAAUGAGAUGGAACACCUAGCUAGGUUUAGCAUGGUGUUAUAGACUGAUGGUUAAAUGACAGGUGGAACACCUAGCUAGGUUUAGCAUGGUGUUAUAGACUGAUGGUUAAAUGAGAUGGAACACCUAGCUAGGUUUAGCAUGAUGUUAUAGACUGAUGGUUAAAUGACAGGUGGAACACCUAGCUAGGUUUAGCAUGGUGUUAUAGACUGAUGGUUAAAUGACAGGUGUAACACCUAGCUAGGUUUAGCAUGGUGUUGUAGACUGAUGGUUAAAUGACAGGUGGAACACCUAGCUAGGUUUAGCAUGGGGUUGUAGACUGAUGGUUAAAUGACAGGUGGAACACCUAGCUAGGUUUAGCAUGGUGUUAUAGACUGAUGGUUAAAUGACAGGUGUAACACCUAGCUAGGUUUAGCAUGGUGUUGUAGACUGAUGGUUAAAUGACAGGUGGAACACCUAGCUAGGUUUAGCAUGGUGUUAUAGUUUUAAUAGCACUGUAUUAGGUUCUGUAUGGUGUUGGUGUGAUAUUAGUAGGGCAUACAGGAGCUGCAAGGUAUCAGGUCACGUCCUCGCAGGAUUACCACUGCUCUGAGACCUGUUCUCAGCUUAACACAGUUUCCAUGGCCACGUCAUCCCCCACUUUAGACUGCGGCCCCCUGGAAAAUAGAGAUUCCUGAAGUAGGGCUUUGAUGUGGGAGUGAGUAUUUGAUUUGGUUAUUAGAAUUUUAUAUUGGUGGAGUUGAAUAAAGUUGUUCUAAUCUAAUGUUGUCAAGUAAAUGAUUUUGAAUGUCUGGGGUGAAGUCAUAGACUAGAAUGUCUGGGAGAGACCUGUGAUGUCACAAGUAGACUAUAAUCUCUUGAAGACCUCACCUCUGUGAUGUCAUAAAGAUUAAAUCAUGUCUGGAGAAUACUUUUUCUGUGAUUUUUAUAAAGAGUAGAAUCUCUGGGAAAGACCUCUGUGAUGUCAUGAAGACACUAGAAUAUCUUGGAGACCUGCAAUGUUAUAAAUAGAAUCGCUGAUGUCAUGAGAGAGUAGAAUAUCUGUGGAAGACCUGUGAUGUCAUAAGUAGACUAGAAUGUCUGGAGAGGAACUUGGUGAUGUCAUAAAGAGAAUAGAAUGUCUGAGGGAAGACCUCUGUGAUGUCACAGACAAAUACAGUACUAGUAGAAUGUCUGGUGAAUGUUGUCAGGAUGCCAAAAAGAAUGGAGUAGCCUAGUGGGGAGUCCAGUGUUAAGAACCUUUCAGUUUGACUGUUGUGACCCACCUUCAGUACAGUCUUUGUACAAACACCUAGUCCUUAUCAACUAGUCCUUAUCAACUAGCCAGUAAGGACUGUCCGUUGUUCCUCUGCCCGGCGAUUAGUAUUGGCUAUAGUGGCCCAUGGCUGGGCAGAACCAUCCAGUCCCUGCUGACUGGAGUUAGGGGGGUAUGUGAGGGCUAAGCCCCCAGGAUGAGGCAGUCUGGCUGGGGGAACAGGGUUCAGCGCAUGCCCCUAAACCUCACUUGGCAUCAAUCUGGGAGGGGCCGCUGUUAAAUGGUUGUGUGUGCGUCAAAUGAUGCACACAUGGUCUUGUGUGUGCGUCAUUUGUCAGUUUGUCUUUGUGGGAUUGUUGUUGCGGUGUGGCUUUGACUGUGUGUGUUUUGGCGUUGUAUGUGUCUGUUAUAUUUAUGCUGUGUGUGUGUGUGGUAAUAAUACCAGCUGUUUGAUACCCAGUACCCAGGGGGUGUGGCCAGAGCUAGAGCUAAAUUUACUGGUAAUCACAUGAAAGGGCAAUGAGGGGAGCGGGGGUGUGUGUGUCCCACUCAUCUCUCUUGAU